GUAAUUUAUUAUGUUCUCCAGAAACUGAUUUUGCAACAUUGCUAAACUAGCAGACUGGAGAGAUGCUCACAAUUCUCAGAUGAUAUGAGUGUUUCUCUGCAUGGGCAUCAGAGCUGCCACUGCUUGACAUUCCAAGAACUUCCCAGCUACAGGUUCAUCACCUUCUCCUCCCAGGAAAGACAUGUGAGAUUCUGCACAGAGACAGGAAUGUCGUGCCAAAGAGCCUGAAGUCAUGCCAGUGGUGGAGUGCUGAUUGGAACAGACUGGGUUUGGAUGACAUCUCUACUCAUCUGUAAUGGAAGCUGUGUCAAAAUAGGAAAAAUUUUGAAAAACUCUGGUGGCCUUUGGGUGAUGAAGUUAAUGAUAAUUGCCACCUUUUUUCAUGAAGUUUCUUGAACUUUGACAACUUUAGGAACAAUAAUACUGAUAUUGAUAAUAUGUCAUCUUGUUCUCAUGUUCUGUGAUUCUGAAGAAGCAAGAACUGACCACCAUGUACAUCAGCUGGAACCUUUCUGGAAUCCACACAGUGUAAUAAUCCUUAGGAAAAGCUACCUGGGAUUCAGCUGUUACAAUCAGAAGGCCACGAACACUCAACUGGAACCUUUCAUAAUCCCAGUAAAAGGAAAGAUUCAGCUCUUGUCCUGAUUGCAGACUUUGUGCUGGGGGAUGCCAGCUGCCAUAUUGUGAAGACCCUCAAGCAUCCCUGUGGAGAGGUCCCCAUGGCACAGAAAUGGACUCUCAGCCCAAAAGCCAACAAAGAACCAAGGCCUCAAGCCAGCAGCCAUGGGAAUGGGAAUGUGCCAUCUUGGAAGCCAAUCCUGCAGCCCCAGUCAAGCCUUCAGAUGACAGUAGCCCCAGCCAAUAUCUUCACUGGAUCUUACUGAGAGACUAUGUGCCAGCAUGACCCUACUAAACAACUCUCAAAUUUCUGACCCUCAGAAAUUGUGUGAGAUAAUAAUUGUUUUUUGUUUUAAUAUGCUAAGCUUUAGGUUUGUUUGUUACUCCAAAUUAGACAACUAAUUCAGAAUGCAAUAUAUACACUCAGCCAGGUCAACUCCUCUGCUUCUUGAUGCCUGGGGAGAGUGGAGAGAGUGAUGGAUCCCCAUUAUUAUUGCACCCAGGGUACACUGGUCUGGGUUUAGAAUGUCUUGUGCUUUUUCAACCUUCUGUUCCCACAUUUCUCAGUAGUAUGUAUAUUAA
rnacentral:lncRNA from 1 species